rnacentral:rRNA from 1 species
AUUGAACGCUGGCGGUAUGCUUAACACAUGCAAGUCGAACGGCAGCACGGGAAAGCUUGCUUUCCUGGUGGCGAGUGGCGGACGGGUGAGUAACGCGUAGGAAUCUGCCCAACAGCGGGGGACAACUCCGGGAAACCGGAGCUAAUACCGCAUACGCCCUACGGGGGAAAGGCGGGGAUCUCUUCGGAGACCUGUCACUGUUGGAUGAGCCUGCGUUGGAUUAGCUUGUUGGUGGGGUAAAGGCCCACCAAGGCGACGAUCCAUAGCUGGUCUGAGAGGAUGAUCAGCCACACUGGGACUGAGACACGGCCCAGACUCCUACGGGAGGCAGCAGUGGGGAAUAUUGGACAAUGGGCGAAAGCCUGAUCCAGCAAUACCGCGUGUGUGAAGAAGGCCUUAGGGUUGUAAAGCACUUUCAAUUGGGAAGAAAAGCAUUCGGUUAAUACCCGGGUGUCUUGACGGUACCUUUACAAGAAGCACCGGCUAACUCCGUGCCAGCCGCCGCAGUAACAC